GUUCCGUAGGUGAACCUGCGGAAGGAUCAUUAUUGUAUAACCGAGGUGCGAGGGCUGUCGCUGACCCGAAAGGUCGUGCACGCCCGAGUGCCCUCACACACAUCCAUCUCACCCCUAUGUGCACCACCGCGUGGGUCCCCCUUUGGCUUGUUCGGAGGGGGGCUUACGUUUUCACACAAACUUUGUAUGCAGUGUAGAAUGUAUUUUUUGUUUUUGCGAUCACGCAAUCAAUACAACUUUCAACAACGGAUCUCUUGGCUCUC
rnacentral:misc_RNA from 1 species